rnacentral:rRNA from 1 species
GGGGAAUAUUGGACAAUGGGCGCAAGCCUGAUCCAGCAAUGCCGCGUGUGUGAAGAAGGCCUUCGGGUUGUAAAGCACUUUUGUUAGGGAGGAAAGUCUUGUAGCUAAUAACUGCGAGAUAUGACGUUACCUAAAGAAUCAGCACCGGCUAACUCUGUGCCAGCAGCCGCGGUAAUACAGAGGGUGCAAGCGUUAAUCGGAAUUACUGGGCGUAAAGGGUCUGUAGGCGGAUUAUUAAGUCGGAUGUGAAAUCCCCGGGCUCAACCUGGGAACGGCAUUCGAUACUGGUAGUCUAGAGUGUGCAAGAGGAUGGGGGAAUUCCUGGUGUAGCAGUGAAAUGCGUAGAGAUCAGGAGGAACAUCAAUGGCGAAGGCACCUUUCUGGGGCAACACUGACGCUGAGAGACGAAAGCGUGGGGAGCAAAC